CCGCAGUCCCUGUAUGAGAGCAGUAGGCGAUGGGCUGUAGUUUGCCUUCAUUUAGUUGCAACAGGGCAGCUCCUAGGCCAUAACUGCUAGCAUCUAUGCUAACCACUGUCUUUUAGUAGAGUCAUAUAACCCUAGCACAGGGGCAGACCUUAACAUUGACUUAAUCAGUGCAAAGGCCUCCUCAUGUGGAGGUCCCCAGGUCC